UCCUCACCCUUGCUGGAAGAGCAUUAUUAAUCACCUAACCAUCCCCCAGGUCUCCAAACCAAAGAGGCCGUGCUCCCUGCAGAAGCAUCUUCCCAGAGCCUCCCGGCUGAGCCUUCCCAUUCCCCUGCUCCUUCUUCUGCUGACCCCCCGAUCCACUGCAACAGCGUCACCGAAAGAGCUCCAACAGAGAGACUACGCAAAAGGUCACACUUGAACAUUUAUAAUGGCUUAGUCUGAAGGAUCGCAAAACUCCAGGGGAAGAAAAUCGGUCUGAAAUAGGCAUUGUUAUAGAAGACUCCAGGAGCACCUGCAGAUGUUCAGCCAAUCAGCCCAUUCAUUACCUGACCACUCUCAUGUAUGCCUAUGGAGAGAAACCUCUGCCUGCAGGAAAGGCAUGUCUCUCCAUUUGGGCUCCUUCAUCUUCACUUGAUUAUCCUUCCCUCCUUCCAAACAAACUUCAUCUGAGACCAUGCAAACCGUGCCUUACAGGGGAGCAAUAAAUCCUCCCUUUGAUGCUGCUGCCAUGCUGACCAGCGCCUCUCCACUGGGAGCAGCAGUUAGGCCCCGCCAGACCGAGGGAGUGAAAAGCAUCUGUAAAUCCUGGCUGCACGUCUAAACACCAA